rnacentral:lncRNA from 1 species
CUGCUGCUGCUGCUGUCCACGGAGGGCAGCGUUUGUGAGUGGAAAACAGUAGCAAAAUUGUAAAUGAAGGCAGUAUUGGCGCUUAUGCUACAUAUGAAAUUUAUAACAUUGAUAGGGUCUGCAUGCAAAAGUUCUGUUAUUUUAGAGUCAAGCUAUUGUACUAAGGGAUUUAUUUUGGCAAUUUAGUCAUUUGUUAGGUUAUAGGGCUGCAGAAACUUUUAGUUGAGGAUCGGCGUUCUACAGCUGCGACCCGCCAUGGCUGGGCCACCGCGGCGGCAUCACCUUCAGGAUGGACCUGACCGUGGCCACCCGCUGGUCGGACCCGCCUGCAGUCCGCAGGGAAGCUGCCCUGCGAGCUAUUGCAGAGCUUCUGCACCCGGACGUCACUAUCUGGUCGGACGGCUCGGCUCGCGGCGGGACGGAACAGGGCGGCGCAGGCGCUGAUCCAGUUCCACCACCUCAACAGAGAAGAGACCGUGCGCGCUCUUACAGGGGCGGUCUGCUCCAGCCUAAGAGCAGAACUGACCGCCAUGCGCGAGGCGUUCGCGGCUGUGGCCGGCCUGGAGGACGGGGAGUUGGUAUCGACCAAGUCGGUCCGCCUCCUCACCGACUCAAGGUCUGGGCUCCAACUACUCGGCCGCGGCCCAGCUAACCAGACCAUGGCCCUGGCCGCCGAGGUGUGGAGGCUGCUGAGUGCUGAGCACCCUCGCCGAGAACGGCACCGAGACGGUGCUCUAGUGGGUGCCAGGCCAUGCCGGGCUGGACGGCAACGAAACCGCCGACCGCCUGGCUGGCGAGGCCACGGCGGGCGACCAAGACAGCGCACCGAUCGACCUGUCGAGUGCGCGGGCCGCCGUCACGCGCCAUGUCCGGGAGCUGUCGCGACAGAGGGCAACCGCUGCCCACCCGCACCCGGACCCCACACCUGGCCACGACUCCCUGGCGCGCUGGGGCUCGGUGACACUGUCCCAGCUGAGGACCGGCACAUCACCGCUGACCCGUGACACGCUCCACAAGAUUGGCCCGGCAGCCGACGACGAAUGCCCCGCGUGCGGGGAGCCCGACAGCGCGGCUCACCUACUGACCGAUUGUCCGGCCUAUGAGGCGGCCCGCCGCCGCCGCUGGGGUGUCGACCCUCGCCUGGUCGACGUCCUCGGCGGCCCGGCGAUGAAGGUCGUCGCCUUCAUCGAGGAUGUUGGGCGGACCGAGCCGCCGCUCGACCCGCCUGCGCCGCCGCCCCCCCCCCCCCCCCCCUGAGCGGGUUGGCGGUGGGAUGCAGAAGAAGAAGAAGAAGCAACUGCCAGCGCGCCACGGCGGCGAAGCCGAGUUCCGCCGCUGGACCGCCCGCGCAAUGGCCAGCACAGACAAGAGACAACCGAAUCACAAUACCUACAAUUACGUUAUUGUUAUGGUAUUGACAUUGCUACAAUUAGCCCUGCUCUUUCGAGCGUGGAUGCACGCUGAAAUUGUCGCAUAAUUCCAUGCAGCUUCCACCCUUCUGCAAUACAAAGUUUGAAUACAAAGUAGUCUUGCAAUAGGUUUAGAACUUAUGUGCAGAUUGUCGAUGCUGGUUGACUUGAUGAUUGGAAUUGUGUUUAUCUGUUUCAUCUGUUUUGACUUAAAUAUAUGGCCAUGGACUAUGGCCUACCUUGGGAA